rnacentral:lncRNA from 1 species
CUUGACUGACUGCAACCUCUGCCUCCCGGGCUCAAGCCAUCCUUCCACCUCAGCUUUGCAAGUAGCUGGGACUACUGGCAUGUGCCACCAACCCUGGCUAAUUUCUGUGUGUGUGUGUGUGUGUGUGUAUAUAUAUUUUGUUUGUUUGUUUGUUUGUUUGUUUGUUUGUUUUUGUAGAGACAUGGUUUCACCAAGUUGCCCAGGCUGGUCUCAAACUUGUGAGCUGAAGAGAUCUGCCUGCCUUGGCUUUCCAAAGUGCUGGAAUUACAGGCAUAAGCCACCACGCUCGGCCCUGUAUUUUUAUUUUUAAUCUCAGUUAUUGGCACUAAAAUUCAGUUGAUUAUCCAAAUAUGAAGCCUGGCUUUUGUCUUCACUAUGACCUCUCAAUUUUUCAAAAAAAUCAAAGUUGAAUCUAAUUUGUGUCCUUUCUGUUACUUCCUUUUCAGCUCCUUCUCAUCUCUCACCUGGCAGGACACAUAUUGUUGAAGGAGCCUAAGUGAAUUGUGAAUGUGCUACAACUUCACCGUAGUCCAGUUGUUCUCCACUGUGGGUAACUUCAUCUCCAGGAGGCAUUUAGCAACUUCUGGACAUAUUUUUGGUUGUCAUAACAGGGGGAAGGUUGCUACAGUCAUCUAGGUACUAGGGCCAGGGAUGCUACUCCACAGCCAAGUAUGCACAGGGCUGUUCCCUACUCCAGGGAAUUAUCAGCCCAAACUCUCAACUUUGUCGAGGUUGAGAAACGCUUCGGUAACCUCUGAGGUUUAUUGAGCAGCUGCCAUGCACUGCGUGGGUGCUAAGAAUAGAGUAGGAAGCGAAGCAGAUCCAUUCUCUGCUCACCCAGCGCCCACAGCAAGUGGCAUCCUGAUUCUUAUCAGUGGCUCCCCUGAGCACCAAGAUCUAAGAGCAGUGAAGGUAGGGGCUGCUGUACCCACAGGAGGGUCUCCAGGACAACCAGCCACCCAGGAGCCUGAGCAGGAGGAGCCUGUAGGAAGUGAGCUGGAAGUCAGGUUAAGAAAGUCGCAGAGGCUACUCAUAGGCGCCAGCUUUGUCUCCAUCUUCCUCCUUCGUCAUGCAAAGUGCUUCUGUGAACUUCAUGAGCAUGGGGUUCUUAAGGCCCAUUGGGUAGAGGCUUUAGGAACCCCAUGAUCAUGCUGCACACAGCCAGGCUCCAUCUCACAGGCAGGUCCUUGGCAUGGCCUAUCUUGAGUCUGGUGUAGCUUUUUUUCAAAAAUUGCCUUCUUAUCUCCUGUCUCAGCUAAUUGGUUCCUUCAUUCACUUACUUAUAACAAAAAUUUAAUGAGAAUACAUAUGUGUAAGGACCUAGAUUUAGGUUUUAAUUAUGAAUAGUUCUUAUUGGAUGCAUAUUCCAGACCCAUUUUAGAAAUGGAAAAUGUGAGAUGAAAUAACUUGUUACAGGUCACUUUUCUUUUACUCUGGAGCCCGUAAUCAUUGCCCCUGCAGUGAUUUCUCUCCUUCUCUUUCAUAUACUCAACCAAUAUUUAUGGAGGAUCCACUGUGUGCUGGGCAUGCACUGAGCACCAGGGCUAUGAUGGUGGACAAGACAGAUUUCAUUUCUGCUGUUAUUACCUACAUUGUAUUAGUCUGUUCUCUUGCUGCUAAUAAAGAUAUACCUGAGGCUGGGUAAUUUAUAAAGGAAAGAAAUCUAAUGGAAUCACAGUUCCACAUAGCUAGGGAGGGCUCCCAAUCAUGGCAGAAGGCAAAUGAGGAGCAAAGUUAUCUCUUAUUUGACUGCAGGCAAGAGAGAGCUUGCGGAGGGGAACUACCCUUUAUGAAAUCAUGAGAUGUCAUCAGACUUACUAUCAUGAGAACAGCAUGGGAAACACCUGCCCCUCAUGAUUCAAUUACCUCCCACUGGGUCCCUCUCAUGAUGUGUGGGAAUUAUGGGAGCUACAAUUCAAGAUAAGAUUUGGGUGGGGACACAGCCAAACCAUAUCACACAUUUUCAACUACUUUAUGGAAACUCCCCCUGGAGAGCUCACCUCAAGCGCUCCAGGUCCCAAGCCAGCCUUCUUCUAGAAUCUUCUCCCCAUCCCUCCCAUUCUUCAGAGGGAGUCUCAAAAAGAUUUUCUUGGAUAUUGCUGCAUGAAAUGGUGAGCAUUGUACACAGCACAUUAUGCAAACCAACACAUCAGAGGAUGGCUGGUGUCAUAUCUGCUUGAAAGCUUUCAGCCCCAAACACUUUGGCAUUCCUGCCAUUUCUGCCAAAAACAACUUCGGAGAGAGGCUGGGGAAGGAGGCUAGGUGAGAUCUGUUGGAUUCCAGAGAUUCAAGUCAGCACUGGUGUGACUGUGAGUUACCACACAGAGCUGGGGUGCCCGAAGGAAGAGACCCUCUUUCUGCCGAGAUGUGGUUUUAUAAGGAAAGAGAGACAUUCCCACUUCUGAGUGGCUUUAGGGGGUACAGACAUGCCAAUCUUCAGCACAUCUUACCUACCGAAAAAUUUCCAUCUUUUGCUGUCAAAACAAGUCAUAUCUUAAAGACCACACACACAGAGAAAGUUGGCUUCUCUACUUCAUAUCCAGAAAGUUCUCAGGGAGAAAAUAUGUAGCACUAAGGUGAAUAGAAGUCAAUGUAGCCGGGCACGGUGGCUCAUGCCUGUAAUCCCAGCACUCUGGGAGGCCAAUACGGGUGGAUCACCUGAGGUCAAGAGUUAAAGACCAGCCUGGCCAACAUGUUGAAACCCUGUCUCUACUAAAAAUACAAAAAUUAGCUGCGCGUGGUGGCAGGUGCCUGUAAUCCCAGCUAUUCGGGAGGCUGAGAGAGGAGAAUCGAUUGAACCUGGGAGGCAGAGGUUGCAGUGAGCUGAGAUCAUGCCACUGCACUCCAGCCUGGGUGACGAGAGCGAAACUCCGUCUCAAAAAAAAAAGAGGAAAAGAAAAAGAAAAAAGGUAAAAAAAGAAAGUCAAUGUAAAUCUGUGGAGCCUCUAUUUACAUAUUUCUUUUUACUGUGUUCUUAAAACAUCCCCUCAGCAUAUGACUAUGAUCGGAGGCUGAGUGCAAUGGAAGUGUUCACUUCUAGAACUUUCUCUCUGUAAGGACAGGAAGAAGAUAUAUAUGUGGAAUGGACUGAUGGAUAUUGUUCAUUGUCAAGUUUGGCCUACAUCCAGAGACCAUAAAUGUCACUCUUCUAUCACUGAGUGAAGAAAAUCAUGCACUUCAGAGGCAGAAAGGGCUUGGGACCUCCAGGCCAGGGAUUCCCAUUAUAGGCUCUGCCAUUUAAUAACUUCAUAACCCUGGGAAGGUUCCUCGGCUUCUCUCAGCCUCACUUUCCUCAUCUAGAAAAUGAAGGUGAGACUCCUACCAGAUGGAGUUGUGGGGGAUUCACGAGACAAUGGAGCAAAACCACUGGCACACAGUGGGUGAUCCAUAAUGGUGGCUCCUGGCCACUUGUACUACAGACACAAAUAAACAAAACCAAAAACCUUCCACAGUUAGAGAGUUUUCACUGGGAAUUUUGACUUCCCUCUACAAUUCAGUCUCCUGCUGUGGACUUUAAGUGGUCAGUGGUGUUGAACAACUAUUAUCUAACUAUUGGCAUAGUAUUAAGAGAUUCAGAGAUAUUGACCAAUGUCAGUGUUUCAGGACCCUUAAUAAUGGGUGGGUUUCAUGAUUCCAUUGUCAAGAUGAGCUCAUUUCUGCUCAGAAGAUUAAAUAAUUGGCCCUGAGACUGGUUAUCUAUCAGCAGAAGCAAACUUUGUGCUGAGAUCCAGGUCACUCUUCC